rnacentral:tRNA from 1 species
GACUUAAAAUUCGUUGGCUUUAUAACCGUGAGGGUUCCAGUCCCUCUACCCCCA